rnacentral:rRNA from 1 species
GACCUCGGAUCAGGUAGGAAUACCCGCUGAACUUAAGCAUAUCAAUAAGCGGAGGAAAAGAAACCAACAGGGAUUGCCCUAGUAACGGCGAGUGAAGCGGCAACAGCUCAAAUUUGAAAUCUGGCUUCGGCCCGAGUUGUAAUUUGUAGAGGAAGCUUUUGGUGAGGCACCUUCUGAGUCCCCUGGAACGGGGCGCCAUAGAGGGUGAGAGCCCCGUAUAGUCGGAUGCCAAUCCAAUGUAAAGCUCCUUCGACGAGUCGAGUAGUUUGGGAAUGCUGCUCAAAAUGGGAGGUAAAUUUCUUCUAAAGCUAAAUACCGGCCAGAGACCGAUAGCGCACAAGUAGAGUGAUCGAAAGAUGAAAAGCACUUUGAAAAGAGGGUUAAAUAGCACGUGAAAUUGUUGAAAGGGAAGCGUUUGUGACCAGACUUGCGCCGUUCCGAUCAUCCGGUGUUCUCACCGGUGCACUCGGGGCGGCUCAGGCCAGCAUCGGUUUUGGUGGGGGGAUAAAGGUUCGGGGAACGUAGCUCCUCCGGGAGUGUUAUAGCCCCGGGCGUAAUGCCCUCGCCGGGACGAGGUUCGCGCAUCUGCAAGGAUGCUGGCGUAUUGG